rnacentral:lncRNA from 1 species
AUUUCCCCCAAGAUUGUUAGCUAUAGAAACAAGACUUAAACCAAUAUCUUCUGACUUCAAAUAUCACAUUCUUUCAGCUACACCAAUAGUUUCUAUACACAGGUUUUAAUUAGAAUUACCUAAUGAGCCUUUCAAAAUACAAGUUCUCAUGCCACACUUGAACCCUAUUCAUUGAGAACUUCUGAAGACAGGGUCCUGAACUUUGUUCAAGUGAGUGAAAAAAAUCUAUGAUUAUGGUUUUGGUAUCAAUUGUUUAGACCAUGGAUUAGCAAACUAUUGUUUGGGGCCAAAUCCAGCCCACUGCCUAUUUUUGUCAGUAAAGUUUUAAUAGAACAUAGCCAUGCUCAUUCAUUUACAUAUUGCUUAUGGCUACUAUUGCACACAAUAGCAUAGUAGUUGUGACAUAGAUUAUAUGACCUGCAAAGCAUAAAAUUUUUAUUAUUUUGUUUUCACCAACUCCUGGUUUAUAUCUUGCUCUCUAUAAUAUAGUGCUUGCAAAUAUUUGUGGUAGGCAUUGGUAGUAAGUGUUUUCAAGUAUUCUUAUUGAGUUAAUAAGAACUAUCUUAAUUUGCAGUUUACCUGAUGUUUUACUUAGCUUUCUUGCCUCUGUGACCAAAAGACCUGACCAGAAUAAUUAAAGGAGGAAAAGUUUUGUUUGGGGCUCAUGGUUUCAGAGCUCUCAGUCCACAGAUGGCCAACUCCAUUGUUCUGGGCCCAAGAUGAGGCAAAAUAUCAUGGCAGACGAAUAUGGUGGAGGAAGGCAGUUCAGGACAUGAACACCAAGAAGCAGAAAGAGAGUUUCCUUUACCACAGACAAAAUAUAAACCCUAAAUACAAGCCCCCAGUGACCUACUGCCUCCAGCUACAAUUAUCACCCAGUUAAUCCAUUCAAGUGGAUUAAUGCAUUGAUUAGGUUAAGGCUCUCAUAAGCCAAUCUUUUCACCUCUGUACUUUCUUCGAAUUGUUUCAACACAUGAGAUUUGGGGAGACACUUAAUAUCUAAACCAUAACAUCUGACUAAGGGACUAAGCUUGAGAAGUCAAGUAUAAGAAAAAUAUCAGUCUAGUUAUGGUUUAAGCCAUCAAUCAUCAUAGUGGAUAGACUGCUUUUAAUAAAGAGAUUCUUUUUCAUUUAGUUUCUAAUAGGGUGUUUUCAAAGUGGUGUAAUGUCUGAGGUUUCUGGCUUGUAUACUGAUAGCACAAGAAUUGAUUCCAUGUGCUAUCGGUAAUAGAGAACUAUAAUUAAUAUUCUAAUUAUUGUGGUAUCACUAAUGAUGUGGUAAUUCUUAAAACGAAAGUCUCUUGGGUUCUUCUAGUCAGAAUUUAAGCCAAUAUAAGCAAUUAACCAGAAUUCAUCAAAAAUCUAGGCAUGUGUUGCCCAGUUCAUUAGCUCUUAGCCACAUGUAGGU